rnacentral:rRNA from 1 species
GACGCGACGAGACGACGCGUGGGCCGGGUCGGUGGGUAGUUAGGCAUGACAAGUCGGGACGGUAGGGACGUUUAUCGGUAAGAUAGAGUUGAGAGUGGCGAACGGGUGAGUAACACGUAGGAAUCUACCCUUAAGACGGGGACAACCCAGGGAAACUUGGGCUAAUACCGGAUGAGAGUGCGAGAGAUUGCAUUUAAAAGGAUGGCGAAAGUUGUCGCUUAGGGAUGAGCCUGCGUCCUAUUAGUUAGUUGGUGAGGUAACGGCUCACCUAGGCAAUGAUAGGUAGGCGGCCUUAACGGGUGGUCGCCCACACUGGGAUUGAGAUACGGCCCAGACUCCUACGGGAGGCAGCAGUCGAGAAUAGUCUACAAUGGUCGGAAGACUGAUAGUGCGACGCCGCGUGAACGAUGAAUCCCUUCGGGGUGUAAAGUUCUUUUAUAUGUGAGCAGUGCUUCUUAUAUUAACAGUAUGGGGAGAGAGAUAUUAGCAUAUGAAUAAGCAACGGCUAACUCCGUG